UAUGCCUAACCGUAACACAACAAUUAAAUCACCAAUUGUUCGCCAAAUAACUACGAGCACAAGACUUAAAAUUUAAAAGACUUGACGGUACCUCACAACAACCUAGAGGAGCCUGUCUGACAACCGAUACCCCACGAUCAACCCAACCCCCCCUAGCCCCAACAGUCUAUAUACCGCCGUCGCCAGCCCACCUUAUGAAAGAAACAAAGUGAGCCAAAUAGUCACACACUAACACGACAGGUCGAGGUGUAACUAAUGGGUGGGCCAAGAUGGGCUACAUUUUCUAAUACAGAAAACACGGAUAAACAAUGAAAAAGAAACCGAAGGCGGAUUUAGCAGUAUAUCAGGAACAUAAUGCCUAAUUGAAACCAAUGCAAUGAGGUGCGCACACACCGCCCGUCAUCCCUGUCAACUACACAAAACAUACAUAAACAAACACAACAAAUAAAGCAGGGCAAGUCGUAACA
rnacentral:rRNA from 1 species